CCUACGGGGGGCAGCAGUCGAGAAUCAUUCACAAUGGGGGAAACCCUGAUGGUGCGACGCCGCGUGGGGGAAUGCAGGUCUUCGGAUUGUAAACCCCUGUUAUGUGGGAGCAAAUUAAAAAGAUAGUACCACAAGAGGAAGAGACGGCUAACUCUGUGCCAGCAGACGCGGUACUACAGAGGUCUCAAGCGUUGUUCGGAAUCACUGGGCGUAAAGCGUGCGGAGGCUGUUUCGUAAGUCGUGUGUGAAAGGCGCGGGCUCAACCCGCGGACGGCACUUGAUACUGCGAGACUUGAGUAAUGGAGGGGGAACCGGAAUUCUCGGUGUAGCAGUGAAAUGCGUAGAUAUCGAGAGGAACACUCGUGGCGAAGGCGGGUUCCUGGACAUUAACUGACGCUGAGGCACGAAGGCCAGGGGAGCGAAAGGGAUUAGAUACCCUGGGAGUC
rnacentral:rRNA from 1 species